UACGUAGGGGGCUAGCGUUAUCCGGAUUUACUGGGUGUAAAGGGUGCGUAGGCGGGUUUGCAAGUCAGGCGUGAAAUACCGAAGCUUAACUUCGGGGCUGCGCUUGAAACUGUAGAUCUUGAGUGAAGUAGAGGCAAGCGGAAUUCCUAGUGUAGCGGUGAAAUGCGUAGAUAUUAGGAGGAACACCAGUGGCGAAGGCGGCUUGCUGGGCUUUAACUGACGCUGAGGCACGAAAGCAUGGGGAGCAAAC
rnacentral:rRNA from 1 species